UGGCGGGUUAAACGCAGUUCUUGAGGCUGGAGGACAGGGAAGUACGGAGAACCAGUCUGAGGGGCGGUCUUCAGCCCUCAGUGAGUUCCAUGGCAACUGCAGCCUUGGAAACUCGAGAGGUGUGGGGGCAGAGGAGCCGGCCGGGCUAGAGGAACUGAAACUCUGAGUUCCAUGACCACUUGUCAUCCCCAAAUUCAAGAGGCUGAGGCAGGAGAAGCAGAAGUUCAAGGUCACCUUUAGCUAGCUACAAAGCAAGUUCUAGACCGGCUGGGAUAGAUGUGACCGUGUCUUACGAAGGAGAGACAGAAGGAGAACAGGACAGAAAUGCCUAGAAGAGCAUGGUGGUUAGUGUCCGCCACCUUCACCCCCCGGCCCGUUCUUGCCACAGCCACUUUUCCCGGCUCUCCUCUUGUAACAGCUGCUGAGUUGGUGCUGCCCGCUGGAGUGUCGACUUGACCUGGUGUAGAUCCUCUGCAGGAAGUCCCGGCUGCGAUGCUGCUCAUUGCUCAGACGCAAGCUGGGGUACACCGUAGCUGGGUCUGGGAAGAUGCAAGACACCUGUGUCCCUCCUGCAAGAGCCGUUAACCCCUCUCAGUCUCAGCGUGAUGUAGACGACCCUUCUGCCCCAGCUGCUGACUUCAAAGGCAGAAUGGAGAGGUGAGGAAAAGGAAACACAAAUGAAGCAGCAACAGUUGAAGGCAGAGACCCACAAUUUGCUCAGCUCCAGCCUGCGACGCGUCUGGCUGACAAUUAAAGGCCCACCUACGUGGGGACUGGCGAGAGAAACCAGCCAUCUCCUGCCAGAGAAAAGCAUUCCGGAACCUGACAUCUGGGUCUUGCAGCUGGAAGGAGGGAGGAAACCACAGAGCACCAGCCCCUCGUGUCAUCAAAGGCGGUUGAUGGUGCCAACUGUUGUGUGAUUCUUCCUGGGCAAAUGCAGAUAAAUGUCUGCUCACUCCAGAUGGGGCAUCCAGCAGCAGACCAAACAAUUUCAGUCAAGUCCAGUGCUGUGCACCAGUGAAUUUCUGGGGUUAGGGUUAGGAGCGAGGGUGGCUGAAGGCAGCAGGCUCAUCCCAGGAUGAGUAACAAGGCACCAAGCUGCAACCCCAGAGCACCUACCAGCUGAAGGAUCUUGGAACGUUCUGAGUUUCCAGCACAUGACUGUUGGGACCUUUCUCCUCCCAGAGGGGGCGUUACAGCUGGGGGAAAGGCUACACAGCACCAGGUCAUCCUCACGGCUUCCAAGAUGCUGUUCGCCCCAGCCAUUUAUACUGUGAGCAAGGAGGGAUUCUGACGCUAUGAGCUCAGUCACGUCUUGGGUUUAGUACAGUUUGGUCCAGCAAAUGUGGCAUUCCUUGUAUGAGUCUGACACUGAGGCAUACACCGAGGAGAGACACGAGUAAGGCAAAAUGACAGAGUAAAAGCUGA